CAGAGUAACUUAAGAGAAAUAAAAUGUAAAAUACUUCAGCGAAAAAAAAACUUUUACAAAAAGU
rnacentral:tRNA from 1 species